rnacentral:rRNA from 1 species
GACGAACGCUGGCGGCGUGCCUAAUACAUGCAAGUCGAACGCUUCUUUCCUCCCGAGUGCUUGCACUCAAUUGGAAGGAGGAGUGGCGGACGGGUGAGUAACACGUGGGUAACCUACCCAUCAGAGGGGGAUGACACUUGGAAACAGGUGCUAAUACCGCAUAACAGUUUAUGCCGCAUGGCAUAAGAGUGAAAGGCGCUUUCGGGUGUCGCUGAUGGAUGGACCCGCGGUGCAUUAGCUAGUUGGUGAGGUAACGGCUCACCAAGGCCACGAUGCAUAGCCGCCCUGAGAGGGUGAUCGGCCACACUGGGACUGAGCCACGGCCCAGACUCCUACGGGAGGCAGCAGUAGGGAAUCUUCGGCAAUGGACGAAAGUCUGACCGAGCAACGCCGCGUGAGUGAAGAAGGUUUUCGGAUCGUAAAACUCUGUUGUUAGAGAAGAACAAGGACGUUAGUAACUGAACGUCCCCUGACGGUAUCUAACCAGAAAGCCACGGCUAACUACGUG